rnacentral:rRNA from 1 species
AGAGUUUGAUCCUGGCUCAGGAUGAACGCUAGCUACAGGCUUAACACAUGCAAGUCGAGGGGCAGCAUGACGAUAGCUUGCUAUUGUUGAUGGCGACCGGCGCACGGGUGAGUAACGCGUAUCCAACCUGCCCUUGUCCAUCGGAUAACCCGUCGAAAGGCGGCCUAACACGAUAUGGUGUUCCACGAAGGCAUCUGAACGGAACUAAAUGCGAAGGAGAAGGAUGGGGAUGCGUCUGAUUAGCUUGUUGGCGGGGUAACGGCCCACCAAGGCGACGAUCAGUAGGGGUUCUGAGAGGAAGGUCCCCCACAUUGGAACUGAGACACGGUCCAAACUCCUACGGGAGGCAGCAGUGAGGAAUAUUGGUCAAUGGGCGCGAGCCUGAACCAGCCAAGUAGCGUGCAGGAUGACGGCCCUAUGGGUUGUAAACUGCUUUUAUGCGGGGAUAAAGUGUGGGACGUGUCCCAUAUUGCAGGUACCGCAUGAAUAAGGACCGGCUAAUUCCGUGCCAGCAGCCGCGGUAAUACGGAAGGUCCGGGCGUUAUCCGGAUUUAUUGGGUUUAAAGGGAGCGUAGGCCGUCUGUUAAGCGUGUUGUGAAAUGUCGUGGCUCAACCGGGGCACUGCAGCGCGAACUGGCAGACUUGAGUGCACGGUAGGAAGGCGGAAUUCGUCGUGUAGCGGUGAAAUGCUUAGAUAUGACGAAGAACUCCGAUUGCGAAGGCAGCUUUCCGUAGUGUAACUGACGCUGAAGCUCGAAAGCGUGGGUAUCGAACAGGAUUAGAUACCCUGGUAGUCCACGCGGUAAACGAUGGAUGCUCGCUGUUUGCGUCUGACGUAAGCGGCCAAGCGAAAGCGUUAAGCAUCCCACCUGGGGAGUACGCCGGCAACGGUGAAACUCAAAGGAAUUGACGGGGGCCCGCACAAGCGGAGGAACAUGUGGUUUAAUUCGAUGAUACGCGAGGAACCUUACCCGGGCUCAAACGACAGUGGACAGCGCCUGAAAGGGCGUCUCCGGCAACGGCCGCUGUCGAGGUGCUGCAUGGUUGUCGUCAGCUCGUGCCGUGAGGUGUCGGCUUAAGUGCCAUAACGAGCGCAACCCCCAUCUCCAGUUGCCACCGGGUCGUGCCGGGCACUCUGGAGGGACUGCCAGCGCAAGCUGCGAGGAAGGCGGGGAUGACGUCAAAUCAGCACGGCCCUUACGUCCGGGGCGACACACGUGUUACAAUGGCGGAGAACAGAGGGGAGCCACGUGGCGACACGGAGCCGAUCCCUAAAAUCCGUCUCAGUUCGGACUGGAGUCUGCAACCCGACUCCACGAAGCUGGAUUCGCUAGUAAUCGCGCAUCAGCCAUGGCGCGGUGAAUACGUUCCCGGGCCUUGCACACACCGCCCGUC